CCUUGAGUUCUGGGCCGCACGCGCGUUACACUGACAGAGCCAGCGAGUUCUUCCUUGACCGAAAGGUCCGGGUAAUCUUGUUAAACUCUGUCGUGCUGGGGAUAGAGCAUUGCAAUUAUUGCUCUUCAACGAGGAAUCCCUAGUAGGCGUAAGUCAUCAACUUGCGCCGAUUACGUCCCUGCCCUUUGUACACACCGCCCGUCGCUACUACCGAUUGAAUGGCUCAGUGAGGCUUUCGGACUGGCCAGAGAGGUGGGCAACUACCACUCAGGGCCGGAAAGUUAUCCAAACUCGGUCAUUUAGAGGAAGUAAAAGUCGUAACAAGGUCUCCGUUGGUGAACCAGCGGAGGGAUCAUUAAAGAGUUGCAAAACUCCCAAACCAUUUGUUUAUCUACCUGUUUCGUUGCUUCGGCAGGCGGCUCUUCGGGGCCUUUGCUACCUGUAGUGCCUGCCGGAGUAUCCAAAACUCUUGUUAUUUUUGUUUUGUCUGAGUAAACUUUUAAUAGUUAAAACUUUCAACAACGGAUCUCUUGGUUCUGGCAUCGAUGAAGAACGCAGCGAAAUGCGAUAAGUAAUGUGAAUUGCAGAAUUCAGUGAAUCAUCGAAUCUUUGAACGCACAUUGCGCCCAUUAAUAUUCUAAUGGGCAUGCCUGUUCGAGCGUCAUUUCAACCCUCAAGCUCUCUUGCUUGGUGUUGGGGCUUCUGCGGCUUCGCCGCAGGCCCUGAAAAAAAUGGCGGGCUCCUAUAACUCCAACGUAAUAAUCUCUCUCCCUUUGGAAAAAUACGG
rnacentral:rRNA from 1 species